rnacentral:rRNA from 1 species
UACGUAGGGUGCAAGCGUUGUCCGGAAUUAUUGGGCGUAAAGAGCUCGUAGGCGGUCUGUCGCGUCUGCUGUGAAAACUCAGGGCUUAACCCUGAGCUUGCAGUGGGUACGGGCAGACUAGAGUGCGGUAGGGGGAGACUGGAAUUCCUGGUGUAGCGGUGAAAUGCGCAGAUAUCAUCUGGAACGCCAAUGGUGGAAGACAGCUCGCUGGGGGGUGUACUGAC